GUGUGUGUGUGUGUGUGUGUGUGUGUGUGUGUGUGUGUGCAGGACUGACCACCAGCCCCUAGCAUCAUCACGAGGGACAUGUAUGAAGGUGUUGGCUGAACAUCCGAAUUGCUGAGUCAUGCAUCUACCUCUCAUCAAUGUCUAUGGAUGGGAUUAAUGUGUAAAUUGAACCCACUCACGGGAACUUAAAACUGAUGCUGGUGAAUUGAACCCACUCACGGGAACGCAAAACUAUUGCUGUUUGUACAUUAUUGUAUAAUUAUUAUUAUUGUGUUUAGUUGCUAUUAACUGUUAUUUUUUUUACUAGAAACGCUGCUUCGUAAAAAAAAUGUAUGUAGUCUCAUGAAUCAGCCGCCCUCCAAUGUGUUGGUGGAGAGUGGACUGCCCACCUCCGCACUGCAGAUACUUCACCUGCUAGGGUGCUUUACCUCAAGAUAAUUAUAAUUAUACUAAGAAAUAGUAAAGAUCGUUAACGAAUUGCCCUCAUGUGUAGAUUUGAUGACCCUUUACAAGACAGGUUCACACACAAGAUGGACUCAGCUGGCGAGGAAAAGCAUUUACUUUGUGACAAUUCACCCUCUUUAGUAUAAUAGUUGGGUGUUUUUUUUUUAUGCACUGUACUCCUCUCCUCCCUCCCCCCUUGAGACUGUGUUUUUAGUGGAAUAGUCGGGUUUUUUUAUGCCUUGUACUUAUACCAGAAAUGUCAACUUCAAUAAUUAUUAAGAUUACAGUUAUUAUUGCUACAAUUUUAUACUAAACUAUUGUUCUUACAAAACAUUAAAGUGUUA